rfam:Tropilaelaps mercedesae isolate Wuxi-XJTLT scaffold0000032013, whole genome shotgun sequence.
UAGUUCAGUCGGUUGGAGCGUCGUGCUAAUAACGCGAAGGACACAGGUUCGAUCCCUGC